rnacentral:miRNA from 1 species
AAUUGCCGUCGAAGACGAGGACAACGUCGAUGGCGACGACGACGGAUACGAAGAUGAGAGCCAAGAUACAGACGUUGUCGUCGUCGUCGUCGUCGUCAUCGUCCUCUUCG